rnacentral:rRNA from 1 species
UUGGUUAAGUUAGAAAGGGCGCACGGUGGAUGCCUUGGCACUAGGAGCCGAAGAAGGACGGGACUAACACCGAUAUGCUUUGGGGAGCUGUACGUAAGCGUUGAUCCAGAGAUUUCCGAAUGGGGGAACCCACUAUCUUUAGUCGGAUAGUAUCCUUACGUGAAUACAUAGCGUGAGGAAGGCAGACCCAGGGAACUGAAACAUCUAAGUACCUGGAGGAAGAGAAAGAAAAAUCGAUUUCCUGAGUAGCGGCGAGCGAAACGGAAAGAGCCCAAACCAAGAAGCUUGCUUCUUGGGGUUGUAGGACACUCUAUACGGAGUUACAAAAGAAAGUUAUAAAUGAAGCGGUCUGGAAAGGCCCGCCAAAGACGGUAACAGCCCGGUAGUUGAAAUGGCUUUCCCUCCAGAGUGGAUCCUGAGUACGGCGGAACACGUGAAAUUCCGUCGGAAUCCGGGAGGACCAUCUCCCAAGGCUAAAUACUCCCUAGUGACCGAUAGUGAACCAGUACCGUGAGGGAAAGGUGAAAAGCACCCCGGAAGGGGAGUGAAACAGUUCCUGAAACCGUGUGCCUACAAGUAGUUAGAGCCCGUUAAUGGGUGAUAGCGUGCCUUUUGUAGAAUGAACCGGCGAGUUACGAUUUGUUGCAAGGUUAAGCGGAAAAAGCGGAGCCGUAGCGAAAGCGAGUCUGAAUAGGGCGCAUAAGUAACAGGUCGUAGACCCGAAACCAGGUGAUCUACCCAUGUCCAGGAUGAAGGUAAGGUAAUACUUACUGGAGGUCCGAACCCACGCACGUUGAAAAGUGCGGGGAUGAGGUGUGGGUAGCGGAGAAAUUCCAAUCGAACUUGGAGAUAGCUGGUUCUCUCCGAAAUAGCUUUAGGGCUAGCCUCGAGGUAAAGAGUCAUGGAGGUAGAGCACUGUUUGGACUAGGGGCCCUUCUCGGGUUACCGAAUUCAGAUAAACUCCGAAUGCCAUGUACUUAUACUCGGGAGUCAGACUGCGAGUGAUAAGAUCCGUAGUCGAAAGGGAAACAGCCCAGACCACCAGUUAAGGUCCCCAAAUAUAUGUUAAGUGGAAAAGGAUGUGGGGUUGCUUAGACAACCAGGAUGUUGGCUUAGAAGCAGCCACCAUUGAAAGAGUGCGU